rnacentral:rRNA from 1 species
CCCUUAGAUGUUCUGGGCUGCACGCGCGCUACACUGACGAAGGCAACGAGCUUUCCUUUACCGAAAGGUACGGGUAAUCUUUUGAAACUUCGUCGUGCUGGGGAUAGAUCCUUGCAAUUUUUGAUCUUAAACGAGGAAUUCCUAGUAAGCGCAAGUCAUCAACUUGCGUUGAUUACGUCCCUGCCCUUUGUACACACCGCCCGUCGCUACUACCGAUUGAAUGGUUUAGUGAGGCCUUCGGAUCCGCGACUCGUUUUGUGGAGAAGUUGGACAAACUCAGUCAUUUAGAGGAAGUAAAAGUCGUAACA